rnacentral:lncRNA from 1 species
CAUUUCAACUUAGAUACAAGCUUAUUAGGAGUUAUGACAAGUUGUCCAUUCUCCUCUAAAAAUACCAAACAAUAGGAAAGCACUAAGGAACAUGUACUAGGGGGUAUGUGCGACUUGUUCAGAUCAUGGACUGUGAUGAAAAACAACUUUUCCAGUAUCAAUGAUGAGUACCGGUGAAUAGAAUGGAAGAACUCCAUUCACUAUCUAAACUAAAAAUAAAAAUAAAAAUAAAAAUAAAAAUAAAAAGAUCUAUCAUAUUCCCCUAUUGUGUAUUGUGUAUGAAAUUU